CAUUUAGCAUGGGCGCAGCCUGACCGCCUGCCGCGUGAGUGAUGAAGGCCUUAGGGUUGUAAAGCUCUUUUAGCGGAGACGAUAAUGACGGUAUCCGCAGAAAAAGCCCCGGCCAACUUCGUGCCAGCAGCCGCGGUAAUACGAAGGGGGCUAGCGUUGCUCGGAAUCACUGGGCGUAAAGCGCACGUAGGUGGGUCGUUAAGUCGGGGGUGAAAUCCCGGAGCUCAACUCCGGAACUGCCUUCGAUACUGGCGACCUUCGAGUCCGGGAGAGGUGAGUGGAACUGCGAGUGUAGAGGUGAAAUUCGUAGAUAUUCGCAAGAACACCAGUGGCGAAGGCGGCUCACUGGCCCGGUACUGACACUGAGGUGCGAAA
rnacentral:rRNA from 1 species